AACACUUUAAUAUAUAUACGAUAUAAUACAAUUUAUAAUAUUCGUACAUUUCCAAUCAAGUGUCAACAAUUUACAAGUACAAAAUCACAACCCUUAAUCAAAAAAUAUUUUAAAUAGCAUUAGAAUACAUCUAACAAGAUUUUCUGCAGAAGCAUAAAUGACCAACCGAGAAUGUUCGUCUCUGAAAAUGUUCUUUGAAAGAAAACUCAUGAAGUUGUCGACUCCGGUUGAACCUACAAAGACAACAUGAAUAUAAGCAUCCAUAACUAUAUUUGUGAACCAACAUUACCACAACAAAGAUGAAAAUGGAGGACUACCAUGUAGUAAUGUGAAUGUAAAAGAAACAUUAUAUAUAUUAUGAAUCUUGUUUCUAAUCAAGAACUUAUUUCCUAACCAUGUACUUGAUGAGCGUUUGUAGAAUUUAAUAUCAGCAACCAAAACAACUGCAGCAGCCUCUUGAUCAAACCCUUGCACCAAUUCCUGAAAUCAAUGCCUCAAAUAUUUAGUUUUUCCCCAACAUCGAGAUAGAGAAAGAGAACCAAACAAAGAAUUCAUCUGUUUGUAUUGACUUCUCAUUAUUCAUGGAGACAAAAAGAGACAAAUAUAGAGAGUUCAAGUGUGUGUGUAUGUGUGCAUAAAGCACUAGAUAGGGUUGAGGUUUAGGGCACAUCAAACCAAUAUAUAUACAACCACUCCUGAAUAUUUUUCAUGAAUAGAAAUGAUGUUGUUCAUUUGUACGUGCAAAAUGUCAAUUACAAAAUGUCAACCAUGAAAUAUAUAAUCCUGUUCUCACAAGUAAUUCUCACAAACUAAUUUUUCCUAGUUACUUGGGUUGAGGUUUCUUCAGACAUGUACACGAUGGAAGAAGUGAGAUGAGAUCGAAGCUUAGCAUGACAAGCAGAAAAGCAAGAAGUGAGAUGAGAUCGAAGCUUCAAGUAUAAGAAUGCAAAGCACUCUCUCACCCUUGUUUCUUGCAAUAAAACUCUCAAAAUUAAAUAUAGUAACAAACAUUAGCUAUUCUUUGGUUAACUCUUCUCCGAUGAAAUUUAGUUUAUUAUCCCAUUGUAAAUACUAGCUCUAAGAAUCUGUACAUACUCUACUCUUAAGUUAAAACCUAUUACAUUGAAAAAUGUGAGACCGGCCAAAGAAGAAGUUUCCUCCUCCCUAGGCUUACUGCACUGUUGUCCAUGGUAAGAAAGGUACUUCAAAAAGAAAAUGUCCAAGGUAUGCAAAUUUCAUCAAUGAAAAGUUCACAAUGUUUAAAGUAGAGCAAAAUAACCAUUUGUAGUCCUUAAAGUUGGGUCGUUCCUAGUCCUUACAACAAAAACUCUACGACAAUACAUGUAUGACAAUUUGUAGUUCUUAAAGUUGAACAGUUUGACAUAUUCUUGAGGGACCAAAGAAACGUAGUUAGAAAAACUUAAUAAGAAUGAGAAUAAAUACAAGUAAGGAGGGUGGUAUUGUCCCAAAUUUCCACAACUCUUCUCAAACCAUCAAAAUUCUAUGGAAACUCAUCAAUAAACAGUAGAGCUUUAGGUAAACUUUUGAAAUUGGAAACUUACCAUGGCUCUAUUCGGUGCAAGUCCUUACUUUUUUUUACUUUUGAGUUAAACAAACAAUAGAGCUUUAGGUAGACUUUUGAAAUUGGAAACUCAUCAACCUAGCCAAAUAAAGAUCAAAUUUGCUUUAAUAAAACGUACAUUGAAGUCCUUCCAACCCGAUUAAAAAAAAAACAAAUAAGUCUAACACUUUAACAAAUUUCUAGUGCAUAUUAUGCAUCUCAAUUGAUCACAACAAAAUAAGAUUGAAUAUAAAUACCCAUAAGUAAUGUCUUUUCAAUAUUAAUAUUACAUUUUCAUAAAACUUACAAGGGUGAGCAUAUAAAUCUACCACCAAUACUUAUCUAGAAAGUCUAGUAGAGCAGAUAGCUAAAGAAGAUUUGAAUUUGUAGCUAAAUUUAAAACACGAAAACUAUAGUCUCUGCAAUACAAUAGCAAUAGCAAAAUUAUCAACAUAGUGCAGCAAGUAUCUCUGAUAUAAUUUAAUUAAGCAUGUCUUGCUAAUACAAUAAUACUAAAUAUGGAAAAUAUCUAGAAUCCCACAGCAUACAACACCAAAUUUUAUAUGUUGUAAACAAAAGGACAUGAUGUCUUUAUGAGAAUAAACUAGAGUAACAGUGCCUCAUGUAAAAUUAUAUCAAAACCUCACAUACCAGACAAAUAUACCCUUGAUAGAAAUAGAAAUUAGAAACUAAAAAAUGUUGUCUAAAUCCAAGUGAUAAAUGAAAACUAAUGAAAUUCACAACUAAUAAUAAUAUAAAAAGGCUUAACUAGAUACAAAUAAGUUCUGUCUGUAGUCUAACUCUAAAACAACAAAUACUCAUCAUUACCUAUAAAUAUCCCUGCAGCUGGUACAACAUUAUAUGUUUCAAUAGCUCCCAACACAUAACUGAACCACCAAAUUGAGGAGAAGGCAGAAGUUAAGAUACACAGAAGUAGUGCACAUUUUGACUUAAGAAAAUAAAACACAACAAAAACGUUGUUGGACAAUGAAAGAAUGAUAAGACAAAAACUUGGUGGUUAGAAUUUAUAUGCUCGCCUUUGUAAAAACUUGUUAAUUCAACCCUUUCUUCUUGAAGGUGAAGACAAUACUAAAGAAAUGAAAUUAAAUGUCCCAAACUAAAAACGAUAUGGUUAUAAUGGGGGCUAAUUCUGAAUCUUUUCAAAUCCCCCCUUCACUCUUCUUUACUAAUACAAAGAGUUUAUAAUAUCUUAAUCUAUUGUUGAUCAUUAAACAAACUUCAUUUAAUAAAAAAAAAUACGAUGAGAUACCAAAUAGCAAAAAUGAAUGAAAUGAGAUUCAUUAUUCACUUAGUUUAACUUGAAAUAAAAUAUAACAAGAUAUAUAUAUACACACCUUAUAUAGGACAUUAUGUAAUGGGACAAUGAAGAAUAAGUUCAAUAAACUUUAAUGUACCCCAAUCUACCAUAAACUUGAGUUCACUCAAAACCUUUAAGAAAAUGGACAAAUAGAAAUAUAAUCAAGCAAACAUAAUCAUUUUGUUAGGUACAUGCAAGAUAAACUAUUCCACACCAACAUCUAUAAUCAGUCUACAAAUGAAAUCUUUGAGUUUCACAAGCUAAACUCAAUUUAAACUUUGAACUAAUAAGUCCAAACAAUUUUCAUUGUAAUUCAAUAGUUAAAAACGUACCUUGGAGCCCUUCCAACCCUAUCAAAAAAACAUAUAAGUCUAGCACUUUAACAAAUUUCUAGUGCAUAUUAUGCAUCUCAAUUGAUCACAACAAAAUAAGAUUGAACAUAAAUACUCAUAAGUAAUACCUUUUCAAUGUUGCAUUUUCAUAAAAAUUCAAGAAGUAUUGUCACUCUCUCAAGGAUUCUUCAAGCCCUAAGUAUGAAAAAAUGUUCACUGAUUAAAUCGUACUCCAUUUACAUGAUAAUUUGACAAAGUUGAGUUGAUAACUCUCAUAAAGCCCUUAAUCCGCCCUCCCCCCAAUUUCCAACAUUAUUGUUGGAAAGGAACAACAAGAUCUUUCAAAGUAAGGAAAGAACUACUAUGGAGAUUUUAGAUGAUAUUAAUUCAAGCAAACGUUGAUAUACUACUAAUAUACCAUACUAAUUAGACUAAAACACUUUCAACGAGACUAGAACUAUACAAAAUAUACUUUAAACCACAAUAGUUGAAUAUGUAUUUUGGUAGGGAGGUAGACACUACUUACUUGAACAAAUAACGACAACGUCCUUGAAGUAAGAGAACUUCUGCUAAUCCUCAAUUCAAUCAAUUAUUCAAAAUGUCAUAAGGUAGUCAUAGGAAAAAAAUAUAGUUUAAAAACGUUGAUAAAAAGUAAGGUAAAAAAAGUGUAUAGACUUAAGUUUCAAAAACUUAAAGCCAAAAACCAAAUAGAUAACAUACAUAAAUUCCCUUGGAAAGUGUAUAGGCUUAAGUUUCAACAUACACAUUCAUACCUUUCCAAUGUGUAUAACAUACAUCGCGGUUUAUGUCUCAAGCAAAGGGUGUAUUUCAACAUUUUCAAAUUUACUCCUCUUGGAAAAAUCUAGCAUGGUAAGUGGCAAAUAAAAUUCUACCAUACAAAAUAAAUCUUAAUUCACCAUCAUUUUUUUGUCUUUCCUUUCAAUAUAGAACAUGUAGUAAUUUUUGUUGCUACUAUCCUUAUUGUAAGAAAGGGAGCGAGAACAUACCUAUAAUUAUCAAUAAUCACUUCCCUCUAUCCUUCAAUCAAAGCAACUCAAUAGCAACCAUAAACAAAAUAUCAAUAGAAAAAUCAAAAGUACUAAAAUUCACUUGGAAAAUGCAUAGACAAACAAAAAGACCCUACACACCAUCAAAGUUUAAGAUCUCACAUUUCAUUUUUCAUUUUUUUUUUCUCAAAGCUUCAGCCCAUAGCCAUGACAUCUCCUUUGGCCUUAAUUUCCUAAUUCGAACGAACAAAAAUCAAUCAAAAAUCAACUAAAUGUUUCAUUGAGGCAUUUCAUCAAACACAUUGUAAGCUACCAAAAUGUUUCAUCACCAACCUACACAAAUUCUUGAAAACAAAGAAAAUAAUUUUAAAGAUUGCAAAGAAAUCGGCACUAACAAACAAUUGGAAUGACGCCAUCAAAAAUAAUUAUGAAAAUUUUGGUGAAGAUUUUACAAUCAAAGAAUUCCAUGGCUUAAUAUGGACUGGUGUUCAUAUCUUUGGUAAAGCAAAAUCUACCCUUAAAAAAAUUCAAUCAAAACUAGUGUUCCUCAACAAAUAAGUUUUAAUACAGAGACAGAACAACAAAAAGAAAGAAAUGGAAAGGAAGAAGAAGAAGAAUUAGAGACAGUAACAAAACCUAACCUUAGUAAAUGUCUCCGACGUCGACGGCGGGCGCUUGGUUCCAAAGAUGGACAGUGGGCGACGAUUGGCAGUGACAAACAACGUUGGGAGACGGUCGACGGCAUUUUCAGAGAUCGACGGUGGUUGUUCGUCUGAUGGUCUGGUCGGCGGAGUGAGGGUCGAAGAGGAAGACGAUUUAGAGAAGGGCGUGUGAG
rnacentral:lncRNA from 1 species